AGGAGAUAACUUCCCCACUGGGGAAAUAUUAACCCUUGGGUUCAUUUCCCUCUUCCUCCUCCCCAGGUAUACAACCGAGGGAUAUAUCCAGAUCUAGGAUAAGCAGGUUUCCGUUGGAGUCCAAUAUUGCAGCAAAGAGCACCGAAAUGUGCAGGGAAUGGAGGCAGCUUUGGGACCUGAAGGAGGGAUGCCUUCGACGUGAUGCUUGGACACACACAUGCGUCGUCCCUGCAAGCUCUUUCAGGACGGGUCUGAGCCAGGACUACAGAAAGCUUUGCAUUGGCGUUCCUAGGCUUUGAAAUGCAGGCGCUUGCUUCCAGUGGGACGUUAGUUAGAAGUCCCCAGCAGGACUGUACCUUUCCCCCCAUUAAAAAAAAAAGGAUGU